UACGGGGGGGGCAAGCGUUGUUCGGAAUUACUGGGCGUAAAGGGCUCGUAGGCGGCCAACUAAGUCAGACGUGAAAUCCCUCGGCUUAACCGGGGAACUGCGUCUGAUACUGGAUGGCUCGAGUGUGGGAGAGGGAUGCGGAAUUCCAGGUGUAGCGGUGAAAUGCGUAGAUAUCGGGAGGAACAUCAGUGGCGAAGGCGGCGACCUGGAUCAGAACUGACACUGAGGCACGGAAGCGUGGGGAGCAAACAGG
rnacentral:rRNA from 1 species